rnacentral:rRNA from 1 species
AUUGAACGCUGGCGGCCUGCUUUACACAUGCAAGUCGGACGGCAGCACAGAGAAGCUUGCUUCUUGGGUGGCGGGUGGCGAACGGGUGAGUAAUAUAUCGGAACGUACCGAGCAGUGGGGGAUAACUAAUCGAAAGAUUAGCUAAUACCGCAUAUUUUCUGAGGAAGAAAGCAGGGGACCAUUUGGCCUUGCGCUGUUUGAGCGGCCGAUAUCUGAUUAGCUAGUUGGUGGGGUAAAGGCCUGCCAAGGCGACGAUCAGUAGCGGGUCUGAGAGGAUGAUCCGCCACACUGUGACUGAGACACGGCCCAGACUCCUACGGGAGGCAGCAGUGGGGAAUUUUGGACAAUGGGCGCAAGCCUGAUCCAGCCAUGCCGCGUGUCUGAAGAAGGCCUUCGGGUUGUAAAGGACUUUUGUCAGGGAAGAAAAGGAUAGGGUUAAUACCCCUGUCUGAUGA